AGUGAACGCUGGCGGUAGGCCUAACACAUGCAAGUCGAACGGCAGCACAGUAAGAUCUUGCUCUUACGGGUGGCGAGUGGCGGACGGGUGAGGAAUACAUCGGAAUCUACUUUUUCGUGGGGGAUAACGUAGGGAAACUUACGCUAAUACCGCAUACGACCUACGGGUGAAAGCAGGGGAUCUUCGGACCUUGCGCGAUUGAAUGAGCCGAUGUCGGAUUAGCUAGUUGGCGGGGUAAAGGCCCACCAAGGCGACGAUCCGUAGCUGGUCUGAGAGGAUGAUCAGCCACACUGGAACUGAGACACGGUCCAGACUCCUACGGGAGGCAGCAGUGGGGAAUAUUGGACAAUGGGCGAAAGCCUGAUCCAGAAAUACCGCGUGGGUGAAGAAGGCCUUCGGGUUGUAAAGCCCUUUUGUUGGGAAAGAAAAGCAGCAGGUUAAUACCCCGCUGUUCUGACGGUACCCAAAGAAUAAGCACCGGCUAACUUCGUG
rnacentral:rRNA from 1 species